AUUGAACGCUGGCGGCAUGCUUUACACAUGCAAGUCGAACGGUAACAGGCCGCAAGGUGCUGACGAGUGGCGAACGGGCGAGUAAUGCAUCGGAACGUGCCCAGUCGCGGGGGAUAACUACUCGAAAGAGUAGCUAAUACCGCAUACGAUCUAUGGAUGAAAGCGGGGGACCGUAAGGCCUCGCGCGAUUGGAGCGGCCGAUGUCAGAUUACGUAGUUGGUGGGGUAAAGGUUCACCAAGCCAACGAUCUGUAGCUGGUCUGAGAGGACGACCAGCCACACUGGGAGUGAGGCACGGCCCAGACUCCGACGGGAGGCAGCAGUGGGGAAUUUUGGGCAAUGGGCGAGAGCCUGAUCCAGCACUGCCGCGUGCAGGAAGAAGGCCUUCGGCUUGUAAACUGCUUUUGUACGGAGCGAGACGACUCUGGUUAAUACCCGGGGAUAAUGACGGUACCGUAAGAAUAAGCACCGGCUAACUACGUG
rnacentral:rRNA from 1 species